rnacentral:rRNA from 1 species
AAUGGGGGAAACCCUGAUGCAGCAACGCCGCGUGAGUGAUGACGGUCUUCGGAUUGUAAAGCUCUGUCUUUGGGGACGAUAAUGACGGUACCCAAGGAGGAAGCCACGGCUAACUACGUGCCAGCAGCCGCGGUAAUACGUAGGUGGCGAGCGUUGUCCGGAUUUACUGGGCGUAAAGGGAGCGUAGGCGGAUUUUUAAGUGGGAUGUGAAAUACCCGGGCUCAACCUGGGUGCUGCAUUCCAAACUGGGAAUCUAGAGUGCAGGAGGGGAGAGUGGAAUUCCUAGUGUAGCGGUGAAAUGCGUAGAGAUUAGGAAGAACACCAGUGGCGAAGGCGACUCUCUGGACUGUAACUGACGCUGAGGCUCGAAAGCGUGGGGAGCGAA